rnacentral:rRNA from 1 species
UUGACAUACUAAGAACUUUCCAGAGAUGGAUUGGUGCCUUCGGGAACUUAGAUACAGGUGCUGCAUGGCUGUCGUCAGCUCGUGUCGUGAGAUGUUGGGUUAAGUCCCGCAACGAGCGCAACCCUUUUCCUUAUUUGCCAGCGGGUCAUGCCGGGAACUUUAAGGAUACUGCCAGUGACAAACUGGAGGAAGGCGAGGACGACGUCAAGUCAUCAUGGCCCUUACGGCCAGGGCUACACACGUGCUACAAUGGUCGGUACAAAGGGUUGCUACCUCGCGAGAGGAUGCUAAUCUCAAAAAGCCGAUCGUAGUCCGGAUCGCAGUCUGCAACUCGACUGCGUGAAGUCGGAAUCGCUAGUAAUCGCGGAUCAGAAUGCCGCGGUGAAUACGUUCCCGGGCCUUGUACACACCGCCCGUCACACCAUGGGAGUUUGUUGCACCAGAAGUAGGUAGUCUAACCGCAAGGAGGACGCUUACCACGGUGUGGCCGAUGACUGGGGUGAAGUCGUAACAAGGUAGGCGUAGAUGA